rnacentral:rRNA from 1 species
GUGGAUUAGAUACCCCGGUAGUCCACGCCGUAAACGAUGAUCACUUGGUGUUGCAGGUAUUGACCCCUGCAGUGCCGAAGCUAACGCGUUAAGUGAUCCGCCUGGGAAGUACGGUCGCAAGAUUAAAACUCAAAGAAAUUGACGGGGGCCCGCACAAGCGGUGGAGCAUGUGGUUCAAUUCGAUGCAACGCGAAAAACCUUACCUGGGUUUGAAGUGCUAGUGAAUACGGUAGAGAUAUCGUAGGCCUUCGGGACACUAGUAUCAGGUGCUGCACGGCUGUCGCCAACU